rnacentral:rRNA from 1 species
UACAGAGGGGGCGAGCGUUGUUCGGAAUUACUGGGCGUAAAGGGCGCGUAGGCGGCUCGCUAAGUCGAACGUGAAAUCCCCAGGCUCAACCUGGGAACUGCGUCCGAGACUGGCAGGCUUGAAUCCGGGAGAGGGAUGUGGAAUUCCAGGUGUAGCGGUGAAAUGCGUAGAUAUCUGGAGGAACACCGGUGGCGAAGGCGGCAUCCUGGACCGGUAUUGACGCUGAGGCGCGAAAGCUAGGGGAGCAAACGGG